rnacentral:lncRNA from 1 species
ACCGGGCUUGACACAAGUGCCAAUAAUGCCACAGUAACAUCUGCCUGGGUUCUGGCAUCUGGCGAGAGUGGGAUUGAAUCCCAGCUCUGCCACUUUAGCCAUGUGACCUUGAACCAAUGACUUAGCAAUAUAAGCCUUAUUUUCCAUGUCUGUAAAAUGGGAAUAGCAAUACUUCCCAAUUCUUAGGGCUUUUGUGAGGCUUAGAGUUAAUGCUUAUAAAAUGGCUGGCACUUAAUUAAACUCCAAUUUCAAUACACGAAUCAAGUUGCUUGCAUUCUCUCCAUUGGAUGAGGUCACGUCUUUACUCCUGCCUGAGCUAAUUGAUGUAUUCUUAAAGUGGCUUGCUUGGCUAAGAAUUUCAUGCAUAGUAUCAGGGGAUUUUUUCUUUCCUCUGUUAAAUAACUUGGGCUCUGACAGAUUACAAGGAAGUUAUUACUCAGAGCUAAGUGCUCAAAACUGAUUGUAGGGAGCAGUGGAAAUUCCCCUUCCUUGCCUAAAAUAACUGGAACUGGAACAUGACAAUAUGAGCUUUGUCCAGGCUUGAAACAAUAUCCUUUCCAAGUGAAUUUUGUACGGAAAUACUUACCAAUAUAUAGUGGUAGUUCUCACUGACAGGCUAGAAAAAGGUUAGUCAUUCCCCGUAUUCCAUAGCUAAAAGGGCCAUUGUUAGGGACAAUAAGCCCCCGAGGAGUGAAAUUUAAGCAUGUGGACAUAGUAAUAUUGGACUUACCUGACUUCUCCCUGCCCCUUAUCCCAUUUGAUUCCUUCACUAUCAAAAGAAUCUAAUUCCGGAAAUAGACAUGCUCUCCAUUUGUUUGAUUAUUUUUAUUGCAAGUAUGUUUGUGACAACCUUCCCCUGAACACCCCCGAGCAGGUCCUGAGGAAACGGGAGAAGGAAAUGCUCAGGUCCUUAUAGUAGAUGCGAGUUCAGAGUAGCUGACUCAGAUGAAUGUCCGUGAGUUCAAAUUCCACAGCA